rnacentral:rRNA from 1 species
GGGCGAUGUAUUGGUCACUCUUGGGACUUUGGGAUCUUUUAGCGUGCAAGUAGGGUGAAAGGAGAGGUCAGGUGGGUUUCAGGCUGCUCGUUGGUGGGCCGGUACCGCUGGUGGCUGUAGGCGGAGAGGUAGCCCGUGGUCUGGGCGAAGCGGGAGGCGGAUCGGAGGCGGUAGAGGAGCGGGAGGGUGCGGUUCCCGAGGCGACCGUUGCGGCGGAAGAGGGGCGAGAGCGAGGUGCAGCGCGAAUCGGAGCAGCGCCGGCCGCGGCCGCCGCGGUGGGCGCUGGUCGAGCGGCGGCGCGAGCCCAGGCGCCUCUUUCCGCCCAGGCUCCUGGAGGUGCGCGAGCGGCUCGUCCACCAAGUCCAGCACGAGCGGCUGCGCAGCCCGCGGCCGCCGGGCGCCCAGCGGAAGCGGUUGCCGCAGAAGCAGCUGCGCAGCGAGUUCGAGUUCGGAAGGAAGUUCCUAGAGCGGCACCCGUUCAUGUUCCGGCUCUGCGUCAGGCACCUGAAGGUUUGAUUCCGACGACUUCAACGACCAGUCCACUUGAGGACCCAUCUAUUUUAGUGUUGUCCAGAGUAGUUUCUCUAGGAGGGACGUCCCAGACAACUGUUAUGGUGAUCUGACCAAGAACCAUUACGGGAAAUAAAGUUUCCUCGGACCUGACUCUUCAAACUGCGCAGGUUCUGUUUUCUACUCUUCAAGGUGGAGGAACUACCCUCGAGUCAAGUUUGUGGUAAGUACAGGUCAUGUUUCUUCGUUAUGUAAAGCACAAGACUGUCGAACUUCCAUGACUUCGAAGGAAUGGUCGUUCCGCUCCUGUUCUCCGUCAAGAGGUACAUGUAAGAAGAAGGUCUUCGUGUCCUACCAGAGACCUUGAACCGGUUGUUCAACUCGUGGCUUGGUCUCAAGAACCUCUUGGUAUAGGGUUACGUCUUCCAAGGACAGCCCGUCAAGUUCGAAGGCUUCAAGUUCUAUAACAAACCUAAACUUCGCAGACUAUACGAGUUUCCAAACCCAGAGGUCGACGGCAAGUCGCGUCUCCGACUAGAAAGCCUCUACCACCUAAGUAGCCGCCCGAAUAUGCAGAGCAGGCAAAAGGUGUUCAGCAAACAGCUCCACUUGCUUCUUCCGUGGCUCCGACGGCGCCGUUGACGAAGACACCAGUGUGAAUCCAGUGACGGUCAUCUCGGGCACUUCCACCUAAAGCAGCGCCUAGUGGGAAAGGAGAAGGAAUAGGCUCUUCUGGAGUGUCCGCACCACGAUAAGCAGCCAGUACACAAGUUAGGGAACCACAGAGGUACUACACAAACGAGACCUAGCGACGUAACCGUCACUGGAGUUGAUAGUGUACACUCACCUCCCCCAAAGUUGAAAUCUAGUACGACGGACACGUUAUUUAGGCCACCUACAAAAAACAAAAGCUUAUUACCGAACGAACUACAUACCUCCAACACCACUCAAUCACUGUUAUUAGGUCCUAACGACACCUCAAAACACGAAAGUCAACGAGCUACGUACUCUACGGGUACGACCGGUUUACGAAGAAUCGCUUCAUACUCGGUACCAGAAACGUAUUAAACGCUCUUACUAGACCUAAUAAAACAAUUAGACCUAACAAUCUGCUCACCCAAACCAACUAGUCCGC